UCAUAAAUUUGAAAAUGAGGAACGCUUCACGAAUUUGCGUGUCAUCCUUGCGCAGGGGCCAUGCUAAUCUUCUCUGUAUCGUUCCAAUUUUAGUAUAUGUGUUAGCGAACUAACACAACAUUGAUGGGUUUUCGGGUGGUUUAUAAAGGUCUGAAGAGGGCCUGUUUGUACACUUAUGGUCGUGACGGAGUGAAACGCCUCCUCCCACAUCAUCCAGUCAGAGCACGUCCUUUGUUCAUUGCGUCAGCCUUCCGUCUGUGCUGAAUGACCGGGGGAAGGGCAGACAUACCCAUUAACAUCCUACUGACGGCUGACUUUACCAUCCCCCAUGGGGAAAUAGCUCAAAUGGUAGAGUGCUUGCCUAGCAUGCGAGAGGUAGCCAGAGUUGUGGACAUUUAAACAAAACACCAUCAAAGUAGAUGGUCGAAGCACCCCCCUUCAUGUUUAGAAUGGACUAGUCUAAGAGAACGCACUGAGCGGGAGGAGCCCUGUUGCCGCUGCUGUAGUUUCUGUGUUUACAAAACGGGCAGACAUCAGACUAUUGACUGACCUUUACUUGCUCUUUGGUGUGCCAUGAGGAUGUCUGUGUGCUGAGGUAGGCAAAAGAUUUACUUUACUUUUCUAGCUUUAUAUUCUCUUAACACAAAUACACAUACAAAAUUUGGUAGGCCCAUUUGUGUUAUCUAUGACAAAUAAAAUGUUAUUGUUCCAUACCAGUUGUCAAGGGGGCACUGUUGCACCCAUUUUUGUAUUUUCUUACAUCAAUCUGUUCAGGGUUGGGCUCUGCACCCACCAGUAAAAUUUGACUGAGAUCGGUCAAAGUUUGUGCAGAUUCCUAGAGGGCGCUAUUGCACCCAUUAUUGUAUUUUCUUAUAGCAAUCUGGUCAGGUUCUGGGUGUGAACCCACGAUUUAAAUUUGACUGAGAUCGGACAAAGUUUGUGCAAAUUCCUAGGGGGCACUAUUGCACCCAUUUUUGUAUUUUCUUACAUCAAUCUGUUCAGGGUUGGGCUCUGCACCCACCAGUAAAAUUUGACUGAGAUCGGCCAAAGUUUGUGCAAAUUCCUAGGGGGCGCUAUUGCACCCAUUAUUGUAUUUUCUUAAAUCAGUCUGUUCAUUGCUGACCAAAUUUAUUUGGCUCUCCAACUGAUGUCGGGAUGUCCCCCAUAAGUGCAAUGUAUUUUGACUUUUCCAGGUGGUGCAGUCUGGCCAUUUGUUUUUUUAUUUUUUUUAAUGCCAAGUUAUGCAACACAUUUUUAUAUUGAAUUUUUCAGCACACUUUAGGGGUGUGUGUGUACUGUAUGUGUGUAACUGAUGUAACUCUCUCAUCUUUAUCUCAAGAGACGGCGCCAAUGCCUGGCAUUUUCAGGCAUUUCUCCUGGGUAGGUUGGUGCAGUGGAGUGAGAACCGGGCAGUAUUCAUGGCAGAGGAAGAAUGCCUGCUCCGCUCAUACGGUAGCCCCGUGCAGCGUUCCCUCAAAGAGCUUAGCUGAUAGGUGCUAGGCAGGAAUCUCUUCGAGGACAACACCGCGAACUGUUUGAUCAUAAUUUCAAAAAGAAUUCCAAAUUCAGCCAGUAGUAUCAAAAGUGUUGUGUGCUUUGUGUCUGUGUGUUGCAUUUUAGGGGAGCUCAUAGGUAUUGAGUACCUGUACAUGCAGACGGGCCGAGCACUGCAGGCCGUCAGCUUGGACCCUGGCGCUCCGGACAUGGACGAGAUGGGGAACUUGCUUCCCGCACCCUCUGAGGACCCUCAAUUGGAUGGCGCCCCUGAAAAGUUGGAGGACCUGUCUGUUGCUCCACCGGGCGACUUCCCCGAGCCUCAGAGGGAGCCGUGGUCAUGGGCUCCAGCUGACCUAGCACCUGCGCCCGAGCCCGCUCUCCACUCCCCCAGGACGAUCCUCUGUACCUCCUCAAGAGCCAGCUGAGGAGUACAGAGGACCAGAUGACCACCCUGGGUACCUGGCUGGCUGGCUUUAGUGGGGCUGCGGGAGCAAGCAGCCUUGUCCGAGAGGGGGUUAGAUCAGCUAAUUACCAUGCCUAUGUAUGACGCCUUGUCCUCCUCAAGACAAAGCCCGGAUGAAUUGCCCUCUCGCUUCCAGAGACCGGCUAACUCUGGGGCAAUUCAAGUGCCUGACUUGAAUUGCCCCAGAGUUCAAGUCAGGCAAGGCUUCCCACCCCUGCGUACUAGUGGUGGUAUAAAACGCUACCUGACUGGGGAAAAUUCAGGACCUGCCACCUGGCCCGGUGUGCACAGAACUGUGUCUCAUCUACUCGGCCUCCACUUAGAGGGGGGAUAUCUUAAUGUACUACCACCAUAUCCGCAACCUUGUACUGGGCAGCCAGUGGUUGAACACUCGGGAGCUAAUUCAGCUGGCUGAGAUCAACCAGAGGAUGCUCUGGUCAAUUUCAACUACACCACAGUUGGAUACAUAACUAAAAUCUGUCCUUGAAUUACUUUUUGUAUUUUUUAGGUACACAGCAACCCUGCGGGAGAAGGAGAGGUUUCUGUUUGCACCGGGACCAGGCGCUGCAGCAGGUGGACACCAAGGUCCAGCACCACCACCUCCACCGGUGGUGGACCAGUGCUGGUGCAGAGUGGGUCCAUUAGAGGCAGCUCCAGCGGUGGUGCACACUGGCCUGGCAGCACCAGGAAAGCCAGCCCUUGUGCCCCAAUCACUACUAGCACCACUGCUGCACCUUGCUGAUGAUGUUCUAGCUGCAUCACCAGCUGCUGUUGCUGCUGCAGCAGGUCCUUUGUCGCAGGCCACAGAGCCUUUCCCAGACCCCUACCUGCCCCAGCGGAGGCCUUGCUGCCUCUCGGACCUUGCCAGUGAGACAGCAUCCCCUCCUGUCAGCUCCGCCCGCACACGGUCUGUCCGCUGCCGCACAGCCCCCAAAACCAACCAGGGAUGCACCCAGGUCAGCCUCGACAGAAGGAGAAUGGACACUUCCGCCACAGGCGGAUCUAUGUGUGCACGAGGAAGGCCGACUGGUAGAGAGAAGCAGGAGAAGAACCCGGGUUGAGCUCCCAGAACUGCUUACACCCACCUGCUGGGGCAGAUGGUGUGAAUAGUUUGUGUGUGUGUAAAUAGUUCCCCUCCACCAGGACCGGGACCUUGACGUGGUGUGGAGGCUUACCACCAACACCGGUCCACACUCACCUGGAUAUCUGUAGUGAGUCACAAUUUUCACUGACAUCGACAAGGAAUGUGAUGCAGCCCUUCUGUGUAAUGAUGACUCGGCUGUAACCAUGUCAUGUUUUAAUUUUUUUUGCAAAGCUUACUUUUAGAAUUUACUUUUUUUUCUCUUUUUGCAAAACACAACAACUAUAUUUUAUUGGUAUGUUUGAUUUUAUUUAUUUACUAUAUUAAUAAUAAUAAUAGUGCUGUCAUGCGAUUAAAAAAAUUGAGAGAUUAAUUAUGAUCUGUAAUCUCAUUUUAAUCUCACCUAAAAAUUGCUGAGAAAAGCCGUCAAUUUGAGGUAUUUUCAUUUAAAUUCAUUAUUACAUUAUUGUGGCAGAUCAAAAGACUGAUAAAGAACAAAAAAAAGUGACUUUAUUAAGUCAUUUAUUGUUUAACAAAUCUCUUCAUAUUUCCUGUUUAGCCCAAGUCUCCAUGAAUAAGAAACUGUUUGCUGUAAAGUAGCAAAGACGAGGAAAUCUGAACAUAAUAACUUUUGUUUACUUAAAGACAAUAAAAAGAUCUUUCCUUAA